UUGGGUGAGUUUCCACUGCCGCUCUUCUAAUUAAAAAAACGCAUAACUGAAAAAUAAAAAAAAUAUAUAUGAUAAACAAGACUCUUUGAUCCCACCAACAUGCCGGAGGGGUUUCACAUUAUUUCUCCAGAAGGUGGUUUAGGGUGCUCCUUUAUAUGCAGUCGGGUUUCACCUUUAACCUGAAUACUCAGCAGCAUCCUCCGCCUCUCUCACUCUCUUCUUAUCUCUCACACUGUCUACCCAUCUAUCUCUCUCUCUCUCUCUCUCUCUCUCGCUCCGUCCGUUUAUCUUUGUGGAAGCGGUGCCGUUUAGUUCCACUCACUGGAAUCCCAUGUUGGAGUCAUUCACUCGUUCCAGUGCGUCGUUGAAGGCGUUCAAAGAUGUCCUCCGUUUGGAUAAGUUUGAGUCUGUUGUAUCUCCUACAACACAGCGUUUCAUCAGAUGAAGCGGUGUUGCUGACUUGCCCCAAGACAGUUUCAGUCAAACCUGGCGACACAGUUACGGAAAACUGUUCAAUAAAAUGGGAAACUAACGGGAGCUGUAACGUUACAAAUUCCUUGAUUCACACAAAUGGCACCACCACUGAAUGUGGAAGUACUUCAGAAACGUACAGCUGUGCCUGGGAUAACUCCAAUGUGAAACUGGUGAUUGCUGGCGUAAAAGAGGACAAUAUCACAGUUGAGAUUCAAUCCAACUGUGGUUUGGCUUCUGAGGUUAUCCAUGUGCAUCUCUCCGUUGUAGAUAUGACGGAGACACCUGCAUUGAACCAGAAGGGAAAGGAAGAGGAAACCCUGUCCUAUCUCAUAUCCAGCAUACUGGGUGUUCUUGCUACAGUCAUCGUUGUGGCCGUUUUGUCCUGUCUUAUUAGAAAGUACAUAACUUCGAAAAACAACCAACACACCAGAGUGAGCCAGCAGGACGACUGUAAAGGAUGUGAUGUCUGAAAUCUCCCUAAGAAAUGAAAGAAAGUCUUCGUCCUGUCUUUCUUACAGAACUCUUUUGGACGGACAUUGGUCAGAUGGUGGCAUGUCCACUGAUCUGAAACCGGGACUAUUAACUCUUUGUGAGCCAAUUGCUAAAGCUGCUGCUGGUGGCAGCUUUGUGUAUUGAGUAUAAUAUGUAUUGUGUACAUUUGUGUACAGACUCUUUAUCCAUAGAGUGAUUGAGUGCUGCCUUGCUGCCAUGACCAAAUUUAACACAGUUAAGUGUUAAUGUUUUGUAUAUGCAUACUGCAUUUGUUGUAAAUGAAAGGUAUUCCUCAUUGUACCGUUUUUAUUAUAAAUUUAUCUACAACUUCCUUUCAACGAGGGCCAUUUACUGUCUUGAGACCCACAUUUAUUUAUUCAGUUUCCCUAUGGUGAUUCACACUAAUGAUCCACAUUAAAAUAUAAAUCUACUCACAUUUGAUAGCUGCUUUCACAUGGCUUAGAUGGCAUAUCAAUUUAUGGCGCACACUGAAAUCCAGUUACAUUAACCUCGUCUAGAGGAUGUGUGUGAAGAAGAGUCUUCUUUCAGAUCAAUUGGGAGGGGAGUACCACCUGGCACUUUUCUUGACACCCAAGCAAUAUGAAGGGUGCAAUAACGACCAAACAUCAGCUUGCAUUCCGUUUCUAUGGUAACCAGUGUUGAGUAGGUUAGAUUAAAUAAUUAACUGGUUCCCAGAAGAAAUGACUAAAAUUCAAGUGUGUCAGUGGUGUAACUAAUUCAGUUACUGUAACCAUGACAUUUGAUUAAUUACAUUUAGUUUACUUUUGGGAUCUGUUAUAGGUGAGGGGGGGGGGGCACUGUAACUUCAAGUUCUACAGUGAUUUGUAGAGAUGGGAGCUUUGAUUAGACUAAAAACAUCAGUAUGUAUCUAUGUCAAUGAGACACUCAAAACACUCACACGUCUUUAUCCGUAUUUACCUUGAAGAAGAAGCCAGUUUGGGAUAACUCACAUUAAUGAUGACUGCGAACUUAGAUCAAAAAUGUUGAAUAUUGGUGAACUGUGGACAUGAAUCAGUUCAUUUUAACCUGGGGGAACUUAAUUCAGAACCAGAUCUUUAUAAGGAUGAACUGGGAACAAACUCAGCACAGCAAUGACACGGAUAUCAUUUAUUUCAGCAAUCUGAAUAUGACAUUAGUCCACGUCUAAGUCGAGAAAGCAGCGGGAUUUGCUAACUGUGUUACUGAAGGCUGGCUAAUGUGCAAUACACACCAAUAUCAAUGUAUUUCUAUGUUUUUUUAAUGUAAUUAAACACUAAUGUUCUUACUUUGCGUAAAUAUCACUAAAAUCAUUGAGUGUGUCUAUGAUGAAUUUGUAAAAAAUAAUUAGAAAUGUGAAUAAACAGUUUUGAUAACUUUUCCUA